AGUGAACGCUGGCGGUAGGCCUAACACAUGCAAGUCGAACGGCAGCACAGUAAGAGCUUGCUCUUACGGGUGGCGAGUGGCGGACGGGUGAGGUAUACAUCGGAAUCUACUUUUUCGUGGGGGAUAACGUAGGGAAACUUACGCUAAUACCGCAUACGACCUACGGGUGAAAGCAGGGGAUCUUCGGACCUUGCGCGAUUGAAUGAGCCGAUGUCGGAUUAGCUAGUUGGCGGGGUAAAGGCCCACCAAGGCGACGAUCCGUAGCUGGUCUGAGAGGAUGAUCCGCCACACUGGAACUGAGACACGGUCCAGACUCCUACGGGAGGCAGCAGUGGGGAAUAUUGGACAAUGGGCGCAAGCCUGAUCCAGCCAUACCGCGUGGGUGAAGAAGGCCUUCGGGUUGUAAAGCCCUUUUGUUGGGAAAGAAAAGCAGCAGGUUAAUACCCCGCUGUUCUGACGGUACCCAAAGAAUAAGCACCGGCUAACUUCGUG
rnacentral:rRNA from 1 species